GGGCGGGUGGCGGAACGGCAGACGCGCUAGCCUUAGGAGCUAGUGAGAGUAAUCUCGUGAGAGUUCAAAUCUCUCCCCGCCCACAA
rnacentral:tRNA from 1 species